rnacentral:lncRNA from 1 species
AGACGCAUUCUACUUUCCAUUCCAUUCCAUUCAAAGACAUUCAGAGUACUGAUUUAGAGUACGGUUGGUCUCAAAGAAGCUUGUUUUGUAGUGUUAACAGUUUUACCAAAAACAACGUUGUAGAAAUGUCCAAAGAUUUAUUGGUUAUGAAUUAUCAUCGAAUAAACACAAAAGAAGGCAGAUUUUCAAUUCUCCAUUUCGAAGGUGAUUAAGAACAAGUUAUUGGCAUGGAGCGGCAGUGAUUUCUCCAACAAAAUGGCGCGCCAGCACACUAUGCCGUUCCUGUUCGAGCUUAUUUCAAUCAACGGAUUGUGGGAGAAGAGAGCCAAUUGAGACCAAUUGAUCACCAGAUUUGACUACGCCGGACUUCUUCCUUUAGGAAUAUCUGAAUAGAGCUUUACACCAUUGGACCAAAUACUUUGGGUGAACAAAAAAUCAGAAUCCGAGAAGUUCAGCGAAUAAUUUUUGAUACCUUAGGGAAUUGUCAAGAAGAAUUUAAAAAUCGUUUAAAUGCUGCCCAAGGUGACGCCAACCCUCUAAAAGUACAGAUAAUACCGAUUUGUCUCAGUUGUGCGCCAGUUAACCCUGCACUGAAAUAAAAAAUCACCUUCAAGAAAGUUAAACAACUAUGGUUUUCCUAUAGUCUAACUUUUGAACACAAUUCCUCAGUUUAACAGCUUGCGUGCAAAUUUCAUGGAUUUAAGAUGCUCAAUCAUUGUCAAACUAAAAUGGAGCCAUUACAUCGAUAGUGAAUAUUUUGUCUCAUAUUCAAUGGAGCUUUCUUCAGUGGGUCUGUCAAAUUAACUUCGAAACAUGCUUAAUUGAUGCUGAACUUGACUUUCUACUGUCACAUGUGGGUUAUUAUCAGACCAACAUAAAUUUUUAUAUUGUUUUCACAAUGUCCUGCUGAGAUAUCGUAAUGAUUUCAUAUUUGUGAUAUGUCAUUAGGAACCAGUCUUUUAUGGCUGUGCAAUGGAUAGGUACGCAAACGUUCUUCCAAGAAUAAUUGCCAGAAAGUUUGAAUAAUUCUUUGUGGAACGUAUGUGUACGUGCAACUUCUACAUUUUGGGAUCUGCUUUUUUGAUUAAAAUUCCUGAAAUGUAACUCUCAAUUAUAAGUCUGCUUUUUUUUCUGUACACUGGAACUCAAACAUUAAUAAUAUAAGUUUCUCCCAAUGUUUUGAAUGUUAAGAAUGUCAUGAUGUUCUCAUGCUUAAGUCAUGAUGCUCAAUGUCUAUAAUAAUUAUUUGAAAAGGACUCAUCUUGACGAAAGAGGUUGAGAUGAGAUACACAGACUUGUUCUCUAUAACUGCAAUAGUUUCAGAUUCCGAUUUUUUGUUGAAAGUUAAGAUUAUUUUUUUAUACAGUUGUAGUGUACCCAGGUUAUGUCAGAAAAACAUUAACUAUUAUAGUCGACAUUAUCAAAAACCAACAACAAUUAAGAACAAUGAAAAACUUUAACUAUCCAAUUGCCUUUGCUCUGAAUAAUAUCAUUUACAUGUAUAGUUAUGAUUACAAAUUAUGUCGAUCAAAAUACAAUAAAAUAUGUGAUAAUCUUUAAUACCACCAUACAAAAAACAUAAAAAAAUGUAUUAUACAGUGGUUCCAAGUCAAACUCGAACAUUGCAGCUUUUAUUACUAAAAAUGUUCAAGUUAAAACAGUUAAAAAAAAAAAGUAAAUUGAAACACUAAUGAAGUUCAACCUAUUUGUUAUUUCUUUGUUGUUUUUUUUUGUUCACCAACCUGUCUUCUGUUUUAUAAAGCGUUGUACCUAAGUGUGGGAUGCUUUAAACAGUGCAGAUAUAAUUUUUUUCGUUUCUUGGGCUAUACUAGUUCUUUCUUGGUAAUAGCGCAAGCCGGAUUUCGCCCGUUUUUUUUCUGAAUACACUUCCUGUAUUCAUGCCCUUCCUGUGCGCUGUAUCCACAUAGUUUGUUAUUUUUGCAUUUGCUCUGAAUAUGGCCAUAUCUCUCUUUCUUGGUAAUAACAAAUUCGCUAAUUUCUGAUAAUUUUUCUUUGUAUGUCCCUUUCUCCUCAAUGUAUUUUGAAUUAUAACCAAAGUCCAUUAUACUAGUUGAUUAAGAAAAAAUAAAUUUGCAAACUGUUAUGUACUUUAACUAGUCUUUAAUUGUUGAUUAGGUAGUUAGUCUGACUAAAUAUCAAUAAUUGACAAGACGUUCAACGUUCUGUGUCUACAUAUGAAGUCAGUUUAUAUAGACACGAUUAGUUUCCUUCAAUAUAUUCUACCCAUCUUUGGAAUUGUUUCUUUGACGCUAUUUUUUGUGUCUAUUUUGCAUGGUUUUUAGUUUGGAGUAUCCUUUCUUGCCAUUUAUCCAGAACUUAAUUAGACCAUUUAUGGUUAAUGGUGAAUGUGCAUGUUUUGAACAUGCACCUCCCUUCUGACCACUGCCGAGUCAAACACAAUACUGUUCACCUACGAAGAUAAAAUUAAAGACUUGCAAAAACGAUUAUAAAUAUAAAGUGUGUUGAUUUUCACCUCCAGCGAGGCAACUUUCCGCUCUAAAUUGAGCACCCUUCCGACAUUAAUAAGAAUUACCACCGAAUAAUUCACUAUGUCUUUUAAAUUUGUUUUCUAAUAAUAUAUCAUUAAAAUUUAUAGUUAGAAGCGAUAAUGUUUGUGCUGAAACAUAUAUUUCCUCGGUCAUUAUACAGAUAUCUAAUCUUUUCAAUGAAUGACAAUAAACUGAAUCAAAAAAUUAAAUAAUUCUUGUAAAUAUGUAAUUCAGGUUUUAAUAAAAUUUGAGAUAACAUAAACUCAAUAUAUAAAAUAUACAUAUAAUAUACAAUAUAAUUCAGAGAAUACCAUUACAUUUAUCAAUCAUCUAAAUUAGAUAUAAUCCGCUCUAUAGGAGCCAAAGUUAGUUGCAAUUCAGUUAUAAAAUACUUUAUCUUUUUUAGUUGCGGUGAAUCUUCAGAGGUAGUAAGUACACAACUGAAUUUUCUUCUAAUCACUACAUUGCCACAAACAGAUUUUUGUAAAUGUUUCAAAGAUGUACUUAAAUUGUAUUUUAUGGAUUCAAUUUCAUGUUUAAAUACUUAUUAUUAUACGUAUUACAUUCUCUUGUUCGUCACUGAAAAUGGUUAACAGGGCGGAUUGCAUUCCUAGGAUAUACAUCUUGUUUUCAAAUUUUAACAAAUUUUGUAGAAUAGUUGGAGUUUGUGAUAUACGACCACAAUUAAUUGCUUUUGUUUCAUUACAAGGAGGUUGAAUGCAGAUAUUUUUAAUAAUAUUAACUUUAGAACUAGAUCCCCCAACGUUUGCCGACGAAUGUGGUUGUAUAUCAGUAGAUUUUACCCCACUAAUAAUUAAUAUUAUUUGAUGUAAAAUUUUUCACAUUUUCCUGGCUCGCAACUCUGUGUCAUGUAUCUUCCAAUGGGGCAUUUCUUCCUCCGUGUUGCUUAUAUUGAUUUUGUUAAUCUGGAAAACCCUAUUCUGGAGUGUCUACGAAUGGGUUUUAAGAAUCUCCUGUUUCCAUUUCACUUCACAUUCUUGAGAAAUUUGAAUGAGAUGUGGUCUCAUUAUUACUCGAUUUUCUUCUCUUCGCAUCUUGUUGCGAUGUGUUCUUCCGUUUCUGGAUUGAUGGCAAUAUUCGUUUGUCGAUUUGGAGACUACAUUGUCCGUUUUGGUAUCGGUGUUUUUUGAUUCUGGAAAGAGCGUCGGCGUUACUAUUCAGGUUUCGUUUUUUAUAUACGAUCUUUAAGUUAUAUUCCUCUAACUUGAUUCUCCAUCGCAUGAACUUUGAGGCAUUAAAUCUACUCGCAAGAAAUUUAGAUAACAUGCUGCUGUAAGAUUUUUUUGAAAAAAGAAAGGCCCUAUGGAACGCCGUCCGAUUAUUUCCAUCCAUACAUUCACUUUGCCUCGACGUUGACUGUGGGUCUUGAGUCCAGUGAGGAUUUCCUCGUGACUAAUAUCUGGGGUUGUGACGAUGUACUGUUCCAUUCAGGCAAAAAGUGGCUUCAGCAGAAAAUAGAAUGUUGUUAAGAAAAUUAGGAUCUUCAUCGCAUCGUAACAUUAAUUGUUCACAAAAUUGUAAAUCGAUCUGAAUCAUCCUCGUGUAACUCAUGUAUCAAUUACGCUUUGUACGGAUGAUACUUCUCUUCUUUGAAUAAUUUUACCACAAAAGAUUGGUCCACGUUGUUAUUUAGGGCUAGUUGCCUUGUAGAAUGGCGAGGAUUUUCUUCAGCUUUAACCAAUACAUUCAACCUGACUUCUUCACUUACUCGAGGUCGACCUUGUCGAGGCAAAUCUUUUACGGAUCUCGUUUCUGUGAAUUUAGCAAUCAAUUUACUUACUGUAGAUGUUACAAUUGGAGCCCUAUCCGGAUGUUGUUGGUUAAAUAACUCGCAUGCUUCUUGAUGAGUUCUAAGCCUGUCGCCAUAUCCAACCAUCAUUAAUAUCAAUAUUCUUUCACGUUCGGUUAAAUGUGCCAUUUUUGUUAACUUGGAAUAGAAUUACUUUAAGAAGUUCUACACUUUCACCACUACGAGUAUUAAGAACUUGAUAAUAAGCAAACACAACUUUAAUUAUUUUAUUAAUUGAAAUAAAUUGACCUGUCCGAGCGUUUUUCUUGAAAAUAUUAAAUAACGCAGUUAGGAAUUAUGUUCAAAACUUUAUCAUCACACGGUAUACUAUGGGAUACCGUUUAUGUAAACAGGUUUUUAAGUAAUAUCGAUUGAAAGAAGCGUAGAAGUUUUCCUUAUGAUAAUAUAUGGGAUACAUUUAAUACUAAAAUAAGAAUAAUAUAAAAUUAACUUAUGACUAACUAAAAUUAUUGAUUUGAUCACUGAAAAAAUGAAAAUGUGAAAUUAUAUAAAAGUAAAUAAAAAUCAAUAACUUACAAUAAAUCCUCCAGACGCUAUUCCUCAAACGUCGGUGAUGCUAGGAGCAUCACUGAAAAAGUGAAAAUGUAAAAUCCACUGUUUCAAAGUAAAUAAAAAAUCAAUAACUUACAACA